UUAAAUUGAAGAGUUUGAUCAUGGCUCAGAUUGAACACUGGCGGCAGGCCUAACACAUGCAAGUCGAACGGUAACAGGAAACAGCUUGCUGUUU
rnacentral:rRNA from 1 species